rnacentral:rRNA from 1 species
UACAGAGGGCGCAAGCGUUGGUCGGAAUUAUUGGGCGUAAAGCGCGUGUAGGCGGCUUUGCAAGUCGGGUGUGAAAUCCCUCAGCUCAACUGAGGAAGUGCGCCCGAAACUGCAGAGCUUGAGUACCGGAGAGGGUCUCGGAAUUCCCCAAGUAGAGGUGAAAUUCGUAGAUAUGGGGAGGAACACCGGUGGCGAAGGCGGCAUCCUGGACCAACACUGACACUGAGGAGCGAAAGCCAGGGGAGCAAACGGG